rnacentral:rRNA from 1 species
AGUGAACGCUGGCGGUAGGCCUAACACAUGCAAGUCGAACGGCAGCACAGUAAGAGCUUGCUCUUACGGGUGGCGAGUGGCGGACGGGUGAGGAAUACAUCGGAAUCUACUUUUUCGUGGGUGAUAACGUAGGGAAACUUACGCUAAUACCGCAUACGACCUACGGGUGAAAGCAGGGGAUCUUCGGACCUUGCGCGAUUGAAUGAGCCGAUGUCGGAUUAGCUAGUUGGCGGGGUAAAGGCCCACCAAGGCGACGAUCCGUAGCUGGUCUGAGAGGAUGAUCAGCCACACUGGAACUGAGACACGGUCCAGACUCCUACGGGAGGCAGCAGUGGGGAAUAUUGGACAAUGGGCGCAAGCCUGAUCCAGCCAUACCGCGUGGGUGAAGAAGGCCUUCGGGUUGUAAAGCCCUUUUGUUGGGAAAGAAAAGCAGCAGGUUAAUACCCCGCUGUUCUGACGGUACCCAGAGAAUAAGCACCGGCUAACUUCGUG